AGGGCGGGGGGCUAUACAUGCAAGUCGAGCGCGGGAAGCGAGUGGAUCCCUUCGGGGUGAAGCUCGUGGAACGAGCGGCGGACGGGUGAGUAACACGUGGGCAACCUGCCUGUAAGAUCGGAAUAACCCCGGGAAACCGGGGCUAAUGCCGGGUAAUACUUUCUUUCGCAUGAAGGAAAGUUGAAAGAUGGCUUCUUGCUAUCACUUACAGAUGGGCCCGCGGCGCAUUAGCUAGUUGGUGAGGUAACGGCUCACCAAGGCGACGAUGCGUAGCCGACCUGAGAGGGUGAUCGGCCACACUGGGACUGAGACACGGCCCAGACUCCUACGGGAGGCAGCAGUAGGGAAUCUUCCGCAAUGGACGAAAGUCUGACGGAGCAACGCCGCGUGAACGAUGAAGGUCUUCGGAUCGUAAAGUUCUGUUGUUAGGGAAGAACAAGUACCGUGCGAAUAGAGCGGUACCUUGACGGUACCUAACGAGGAAGCCCCGGCUAACUACGUGCCAGCAGCCGCGGUAAUACGUAGGGGGCAAGCGUUGUCCGGAAUUAUUGGGCGUAAAGCGCGCGCAGGCGGUUCCUUAAGUCUGAUGUGAAAGCCCACGGCUCAACCGUGGAGGGUCAUUGGAAACUGGGGAACUUGAGGACAGAAGAGGAGAGUGGAAUUCCACGUGUAGCGGUGAAAUGCGUAGAUAUGUGGAGGAACACCAGUGGCGAAGGCGACUCUCUGGUCUGUUUCUGACGCUGAGGUGCGAAAGCGUGGGUAGCAAACAGGAUUAGAUACCCUGGUAGUCCACGCCGUAA
rnacentral:rRNA from 1 species